rnacentral:tRNA from 1 species
GGGCCCGUAGUUUAGUUGGGAGAAUUGCUGUUUUGCACACAGCGGACAUGGGUUCAAGUCCCAUCGGGUCCA